AUUGGCAACCUUAAUCAAUUAUACAUUUAUAAAGUCACACAGUACAGUUUAAUUAUUUAUUUAGCUUUAAUACCGUGAUAGGAAAUAGGGUGAGGGGUCCCUACUUGUUUCGGGGUCUAAAUACGGCUCUACAAUGCGCCUACAGGCUGUCCCUAAUUUCCCUAAAUUUUUUCUGGAAAACUGAAACGCACUACCGGUACCUGCACGUGUCCCAAAAAAUCCCAAAUCAGACCUAGGGCCCCUUUCGGCCAAUAUCGCAAUUCCGGCACGGCGGCUCCGCCGUGCUCCGGCGACGGCACCGCCGCAAGCGGCGGCGAUUCGCCUCGGGUUGGCUGUUUUCGACCGUUUUCGGCCGAAUUCGACCACACUUGCAUCGGUCCCUGCGAUAAAACAACCCUAGGGCCCUCGGUGGGCCAAAAAAUCACGAAAAAACUGAAACUUACCGGCUGCGGUGCUCUCGGGUGCGGCGGCUCCUCCGGCGUGAGUUGUGUUUUGAUGUUUGGCUCUGAUCAACCUGUAGAGAAAAGAACAGUGAUCACAGUGGUAUAAAAUUUGUAUCGAACGGAGGCCGGGAAGGGCCUCAUCGGAGGCAAAAACCAAGGAGGGACGCGGCGGCGCCGCUGGGCUUCGGCUGGGUUUU
rnacentral:lncRNA from 1 species